rnacentral:rRNA from 1 species
GUUUGAUCCUGGCUCAGGAUGAACGCUAGCGGCAGGCUUAAUACAUGCAAGUCGUGGGGCAGCAGGUUUGUAGCAAUACAGAUGCUGGCGACCGGCAAACGGGUGCGGAACACGUACAGAACCUCCUUUGAGCGGGGAAUAGCCCAGAGAAAUUUGGAUUAAUACCCCAUAGUAUAAUGAAGUGGCAUCACUUUAUUAUUAAAGAUUUAUCACUCGAAGAUGGCUGUGCGGCUGAUUAGGUAGUUGGCGGGGUAAAGGCCCACCAAGCCUGCGAUCAGUAACUGGUGUGAGAGCACGACCAGUCACACGGGCACUGAGACACGGGCCCGACUCCUACGGGAGGCAGCAGUAAGGAAUAUUGGUCAAUGGAGGCAACUCUGAACCAGCCAUGCCGCGUGGAGGAUGAAGGUCCUCUGGAUUGUAAACUUCUUUUAUAUGGGACGAAAAAGGCUUUUCUAAGUCGUCUGACGGUACCAUAUGAAUAAGCACCGGCUAACUCCGUG